rnacentral:lncRNA from 1 species
GAGCAGUAUUGAAAAUCGUGUGCACACUGGGGAGAAGAACCACCAGCUCCCCGAGGCCGAUAACCCCCAGACGCAGGGGCGGAAAUGACAUUGCUCCUCGUCUCUAGGGGUUUUUUUAAUGCAAGAAGCAGCAAACAUGCAGCACCUCCCGGGCCUGCUGCCGGCCUGGCGCGACCCCGAAGGGAGGCUGUGCUGCAGCGCGGGAAAAGGCCUUUGCUGCCUCCCGAAGGCAAAGGAGCAGCCCAGAUCGCGACGCGUGAAGGAGAUGGGGACACUCGAACCACGAAAUAAAGAUGCACUCAGCGGUGACAAGGAAACCGGAAGAGCCACGACGCAAAGGAAGAGUUUCACUUUAAAAGCACGUUGCUGUCCCGUGGGUAAAGCGUUUGCAUGUUUUUGGGGGGGGGGGGUGGGGGGGGGGGGGGAGGGAAUGUUAGAAAGCAAAGUUCAGCCUGUUUUUCUCAGAUGUGAAAGAGGAACCUGA